rnacentral:rRNA from 1 species
GGGGAGCGUCGUCAUCGUGGUGAAGCCAGGGCGUGAGCGUUGGUGGAAUGGUGACGAGUGAGAAUGCAGGCAUGAGUAGCGAAAGACGGGUGAGAAACCCGUCCGCCGGAUGACUAAGGGUUCCAGGGUCAAGCUAAUCUGCCCUGGGUAAGUCGGGACCUAAGGCGAGGCCGACAGGCGUAGUCGAUGGGAAUGCAGUGAAUAUUCUGCAGCCAGUGGAUGGUGACGAAUUGCGUAUGUUGUCUGACCUUACUGGAUUGGUCGGGCCUCGAAGCAGUUCCAGGAAAUAGCCUCCACAUUAGACCGUACCCGAAACCGACACAGGUGGACUGGUAGAGUAUACCAAGGCGCUUGAGAGAACUAUGUUGAAGGAACUCGGCAAUUUACCUCCGUAACUUCGGGAUAAGGAGGCCCAUUGCUCGCGCAAGCGGGCAGUGGGGGCACAGACCAGGGGGUGGCAACUGUUUAACAAAAACACAGGGCUCUGCGAAAUCGUAAGAUGACGUAUAGGGUCUGACGCCUGCCCGGUGCCGGAAGGUUAAGAGGAGAGGUGCAAGCCUUGAAUCGAAGCCCCGGUAAACGGCGGCCGUAACUAUAACGGUCCUAAGGUAGCGAAAUUCCUUGUCGGGUAAGUUCCGACCUGCACGAAUGGCGUAAUGACUUCCCCGCUGUCUCCAACAUAGACUCAGUGAAAUUGAAUUCCCCGUGAAGAUGCGGGGUUCCUGCGGUCAGACGGAAAGACCCCGUGCACCUUUACUGUAGCUUUGCGCUGGUAUUCGUGACUGUUUGUGUAGAAUAGGUGGUAGACUUUGAAGCCAGGGCGCCAGCUCGGGUGGAGUCGCAAUGUGAAAUACCACCCUAAUGGUUAUGGAUAUCUAACCGCAUCCCGUCAUCCGGGAUCGGGACAGCGCAUGGUGGGCAGUUUGACUGGGGCGGUCGCCUCCCAAAGAGUAACGGAGGCGUGCGAAGGUAGGCUCAGAACGGUCGGAAAUCGUUCGUCGAGUAUAAUGGCAUAAGCCUGCCUGACUGCGAGAUCUACGAAUCGAGCAGAGACGAAAGUCGGUCAUAGUGAUCCGGUGGUCCCGCGUGGAUGGGCCAUCGCUCAACGGAUAAAAGGUACGCCGGGGAUAACAGGCUGAUGACGCCCAAGAGUCCAUAUCGACGGCGUCGUUUGGCACCUCGAUGUCGGCUCAUCUCAUCCUGGGGCUGUAGCCGGUCCCAAGGGUAUGGCUGUUCGCCAUUUAAAGAGGUACGUGAGCUGGGUUUAAAACGUCGUGAGACAGUUUGGUCCCUAUCUUCCGUGGGCGCUGCAGAUUUGAGGAA